rnacentral:rRNA from 1 species
UACAGGGGGUGCAAACGUUGCUCGGAAUCAUUGGGCGUAAGACGCGACGUAGGCGGUUCGUUAUGUCGGAUGUGAAAGCCCUUGGCUUAACCGAGGAAGUGCAUCCGAAACUGGCGAGCUAGAGUACGAAAGAGGAUCGCGGAAUUCCCGGUGUAGAGGUGAAAUUCGUAGAUAUCGGGAGGAACACCGGUGGCGAAGGCGGCGAUCUGGGUCGAUACUGACGCUGAGGUGCGAAAGCGUGGGGAGCAAACAGG